rnacentral:rRNA from 1 species
AUUUCCGGUUGAUCCCGUCGGACCUGACUGCUAUCGGAUUGAUACUAAGCCAUGCGAGUCAUUGCAGCAAUGCAAGGCAGACGGCUCAGUAACGCGUAGUCAACCUAACCUAUGGACGGGAAUAACCUCGGGAAACUGAGUAUAAUGCCCGAUAGAACACUAUACCUGGAAUGGUUUGUGUUCCAAAUGAUUUAUCGCCGUAGGAUGGGACUGCGGCCUAUCAGUUUGUUGGUGAGGUAAUGGCCCACCAAGACUAUUACAGGUACGGGCUCUGAGAGGAGUAGCCCGGAGAUGGGUACUGAGACACGGACCCAGGCCCUAUGGGGCGCAGCAGGCGAGAAAACUUUGCAAUGUGCGAAAGCACGACAAGGUUAAUCCGAGUGGUUUCUGCUAAAGGAACCUUUUGUUAGUCCUAGAAACACUAACGAAUAAGGGGUGGGCAAGUUCUGGUGUCAGCCGCCGCGGUAAAACCAGCACCUCAAGUGGUCAGGAUGAUUAUUGGGCCUAAAGCAUCCGUAGCCGGCUCUGUAAGUUUUCGGUUAAAUCUGUACGCUCAACGUACGGGCUGCCGGGAAUACUGCAGAGCUAG